AACGAACGCUGGCGGCAUGCCUAACACAUGCAAGUCGAACGAGACCUUCGGGUCUAGUGGCGCACGGGUGCGUAACGCGUGGGAACCUGCCCUUAGGUUCGGAAUAACUCCCCGAAAGGGGUGCUAAUACCGGAUAAUGUCUUCGGACCAAAGAUUUAUCGCCUUUGGAUGGGCCCGCGUUGGAUUAGCUAGUUGGUAGGGUAAAAGCCUACCAAGACGACGAUCCAUAGCUGGUCUGAGAGGAUGAUCAGCCACACUGGGACUGAGACACGGCCCAGACUGCGACGGGAGGGAGGAGUGUGGAAUAUUGGAAGAGGGACGAAAGCCUAACAAAGCAGUGCCGCGGGGGUGAUAAAGGCCGUAGGGAUGUAAAGCUCUUUGACCCGGGAUGAGAAUGACAGUACCGGGAGAAGAAGCACCGGCUAACUCCGUG
rnacentral:rRNA from 1 species